rnacentral:rRNA from 1 species
CCCUUAGAUGUUCUGGGCCGCACGCGUGCUACACUGAUGCAUUCAACGAGUCUAAAACCUGGUCUGAUAGGGCUGGGUAAUCUUUUGAAAGUGCAUCGUGAUUGGGAUAGAUGAUUGCAAUUCUUCAUCUUCAACGAGGAAUGCCUAGUAAACGCAAGUCAUCAGCUUGCAUUGAUUACGUCCCUGCCCUUUGUACACACCGCCCGUCGCUCCUACCGAUUGGAUGGUCCGGUGAAGCCUCGGGAUUGUGGUUCUUGCCGCUUUAUUGUGGCGUGACCGCGAGAACUUGUCUAAACCUUAUCAUCUAGAGGAAGGUGAAGUCGUAACA